UACAGAGGGUGCGAGCGUUGUCCGGAAUCACUGGGCGUAAAGAGCUCGUAGGUGGUUUGUCGCGUUGUCCGUGAAAACUCACAACUCAAUUGUGGGCGUGCGGGCGAUACGGGCAGACUGGAGUACUGCAGGGGAGACUGGAAUUCCUGGUGUAGCGGUGGAAUGCGCAGAUAUCAGGAGGAACACCGGUGGCGAAGGCGGGUCUCUGGGCAGUAACUGACGCUGAGGAGCGAAAGCGUGGGGAGCGAACAGG
rnacentral:rRNA from 1 species